AAAAAGCCACUAAGCUUCAGCUACACACGACCGUACCGCAAACCGGCACUGGUGCGCGAGAUGAGUAUUCUAAGGCGCUUGAGAGAACUCAGGAGAAGGAACUCGGCAAAUUGACACCGUAACUUCGGAAGAAGGUGUGCCCUAGUAGUGUGAAGUGAACAACGGAGCAUGAAUGGGUUGCAAAAAAUCGGUGGCUGCGACUGUUUAUUAAAAACACAGCACUCUGCAAACACGAAAGUGGACGUAUAGGGUGUGACGCCUGCCCGGUGCUGGAAGAUUAAAUGAUGGGGUGCAAGCUCUUGAUUGAAGUCCCAGUAAACGGCGGCCGUAACUAUAACGGUCCUAAGGUAGCGAAAUUCCUUGUCGGGUAAGUUCCGACCUGCACGAAUGGCGUAACGAUGUCCACACUGUCUCCUCCUGAGACUCAGCGAAGUUGAAAUGUUUGUGAUGAUGCAAUCUCCCCGCGGAAAGACGGAAAGACCCCAUGAACCUUUACUGUAGCUUUGUAUUGGACUUUGAACAGAUCUGUGUAGGAUAGGUGGGAGGCUUUGAAGCAGGGUCGCUAGAUCUUGUGGAGCCAACGUUGAAAUACCACCCUGGUGUGUUUGAGGUUCUAACCUAGGUCCAUUAUCUGGAUCGGGGACAGUGCAUGGUAGGCAGUUUGACUGGGGCGGUCUCCUCCCAAAGCGUAACGGAGGAGUUCGAAGGUACGCUAGUUACGGUCGGACAUCGUGACGAUAGUGCAAUGGCAUAAGCGUGCUUAACUGCGAGACUGACAAGUCGAGCAGAUGCGAAAGCAGGACAUAGUGAUCCGGUGGUUCUGUAUGGAAGGGCCAUCGCUCAACGGAUAAAAGGUACUCUGGGGAUAACAGGCUGAUACCGCCCAAGAGUUCAUAUCGACGGCGGUGUUUGGCACCUCGAUGUCGGCUCAUCUCAUCCUGGGGCUGUAGCCGGUCCCAAGGUAUGGCUGUUCGCCAUUUAAAGAGGUACGUGAGCUGGGUUUAAAACGUCGUGAGACAGUUUGGUCCCUAUCUUCCGUGGGCGCUGCAGAUUUGAGGAAGCCUGCUCCUAGUACGAGAGGACCGGAGUGGACACACCUCUGGUGUAUCGGUUGUCACGCCAGUGGCAUUGCCGAGUAGCUAAGUGUGGAAGAGAUAACCGCUGAAAGCAUCUAAGCGGGAAACUCGUUUCAAGAUGAGAUCUGCCGGGGCCUUGAGCCCCCUGAAGAGUCGUUCAAGACCAGGACGUUGAUAGGUCAGGUGUGGAAGCGCAGUAAUGCGUUAAGCUAACCGAUACUAAUUGCUCGUGCGGCUUGAUC
rnacentral:rRNA from 1 species